rnacentral:rRNA from 1 species
GCAAAAGCUCAAAUUUGAAAUCUGGCGUUCGUCGUCCGAGUUGUAAUUUGGAGGGGUAACUUCGGGAAGCGACGCCGCUCUAUGUUCCUUUGAACAGGACAUCACAGAGGGUGAGAAUCCCGUGCUUGGGCGGAUCGUCGCGACCAUGUGAAGUGCCUCCGACGAGUCGAGUUGUUUGGGAAUGCAGCUCAAAAUGGGUGGUAAAUUUCAUCUAAAGCUAAAUAUUGGCGAGAGACCGAUAGCGCACAAGUAGAGUGAUCGAAAGAUGAAAAGAACUUUGAAAAGAGGGUCAAACAGUACGUGAAAUUGUUGAAAGGGAAGCGCUUGAGAUCGAACUCAGUCGAUGGCACACAACCGAGCUUCUGCUCGGUGCACUGGUCGUCGACUGGGCCAGCAUCGGUUCUGACGGCGGGAUAAAGGGUCGGGAAACGUGGCUCGCCUCGUGCGAGUGUUAUAGUCCCGCGCCGUAAUACCGCCAGUCCGGGACCGAGGACCGCGCUUCGGCUAGGAUGCUGGCGUAACGGUCUUAAGCGACCCGUCUUGUAUACAGCGAAAC